CGGCGCGGCCCGGCCGGAGAUGGCGGCGGGCGGAGCGGGGCCGCAGCGAGCUGGGCGGGUCUCCUCCGUCACCCUGAGCCCGAGCCACAGCCACAGCCACACGGUCACUGAGCGGUCUGGGGUGGAAGGAACCGUAAAGCCCAUCCAGCCGCACCCCCUGCCGCAGUCCUUCCUGUGCUGCCCAAAGAAGAGAUGCAAAUUAAAAUCCUAUGAAAAAAUACACCAAGGAGAAGAUCCACUUGGCUCUGCCUUGACACACAUGGAUUCGUUAGUCACUGAAGUCAGAGCUGGGUGGUUUUAGGCUCAAUAAACCUAUCAACAUACCGUUUACAAACCUAAAAACACCAGGAUAUCAAGCAUGCUGCCAUGCCCAGAGGUGCCUUGGCUCUUGUCCCAGCAAGGACUGAAACCCACAGUGCUGCCCUAAAAUGCUUCCAGUCUAGCAAGGGAAGCGUGGGAUCAUGAGAAAUCAGCUAUCCUGGCUCCAGAGGAACUACUCACUGCAGCCCCUUCCCUCUGAAGGACGACUGAUGUUUCCUAACCUCAGGCCAAGCUGUCAUUGCCUCAGGAAGUGUUUCUGAUCUCUUGCCUAAAUCUCCCUCAUGACAGUUUCAGUCCAUUGCUUCAUGCCAUGUCUCCUGUGCACAUGGGGAAGAUUUGUUCUCCUUUUAUAGAAUCUGUAAGGUUGGAAAAGACCUCUAAGAUCACUGAGACCGGUGUCUGCAGUUUUGUGUCUGCACGGUGUGUUACAUGUGGGGAAAUGGGCUUUUCCUUCUUU